rnacentral:rRNA from 1 species
CCCUUAGAUGUCCUGGGCCGCACGCGCGCUACACUGACAUGUUCAACAAGCCUCCUAGUUCGACAGGAUUUGGGAAAUCUUUGAACGCAUGUCGUGAUAGGGAUAGAUCAUUGCAAUUAUUGAUCUUGAACGAGGAAUUCCUAGUAAACGCGAGUCAUCAGCUCGCAUUGAUUACGUCCCUGCCCUUUGUACACACCGCCCGUCGCUACUACCGAUUGAACGGUUUAGUGAGGGCCUCGGAUUGGUCUCGGCCCGCUCUUUACCGGGCGGCGCCGUUGGUCGAGAAGACGCUCGAACUUGAUCGUUUAGAGGAAGUAAAAGUCGUAACA